ACGCACAGCCAAGAGCAAAUUAGAUAUCAAUCGAACAUAGUAUCGUUCAACAUGCCGAAAGACUCAAACAAGGAGCAGGCUUCUUGUGGUCAGUCUAUUCCCACUGAUAACUCAAGAAAAUCGAAGCCAACCAAAGCAGAAUAUGAUGCACAGCCUAAUGGAAAAAAUCCAUCAUCUGGGACAGAUAAAGGUGUGACGAUUGUUGUGGAGGCCACUCGGACAUCAGACACAAAAGCUAAGGGGAAAAACUAAACUAUGCAGAAGAAUGCCUGCUCGUCUGUCAACUACACAACCCUACUUACAUGUGUGUCUAUAAAUAAAUGUAUAGCAAAUAUGUAAUAAUCAGAAGGUAGAAACAAAUAUAUAUAUUUAUUUAUGUUUUAGUUUGAUGGAUUUGCUUGAUGUAUGUAUACGUAUCCAAAAAUAACAGCCAGCGCUAUGCCCAUAUAUUGUAAAACAAAAAUCUAACAGCAGCAUGGUCUCCUAAAUGCAGU